AGGAUUUUAGUUAAAUUAAAAUAACACUUAAAUUGCAUUUAAAAAUUAUAAUUUUAUUUAUAAAUCUUA
rnacentral:tRNA from 1 species